rnacentral:tRNA from 1 species
UAUGGAUUAGCUCAGCUGGGAGAGCACCUGCCUUACAAGCAGGGGGUCGGCGGUUCGAUCCCGUCAUCCUCCACCA